rnacentral:rRNA from 1 species
GAGUUUGAUCGUGGCUCAGGAUGAACGCUGGCGGCGUGCCUAAUACAUGCAAGUCGAGCGAACAGACGGGGAGCUUGCUCCUCUGACGUUAGCGGCGGACGGGUGAGUAACACGUGGAUAACCUACCUAUAAGACUGGGAUAACUUCGGGAAACCGGAGCUAAUACCGGAUAAUAUAUUGAACCGCAUGGUUCAAUAGUGAAAGACGGUUUUGCUGUCACUUAUAGAUGGAUCCGCGCCGCAUUAGCUAGUUGGUAAGGUAACGGCUUACCAAGGCAACGAUGCGUAGCCGACCUGAGAGGGUGAUCGGCCACACUGGAACUGAGACACGGUCCAGACUCCUACGGGAGGCAGCAGUAGGGAAUCUUCCGCAAUGGGCGAAAGCCUGACGGAGCAACGCCGCGUGAGUGAUGAAGGUCUUCGGAUCGUAAAACUCUGUUAUUAGGGAAGAACAAAUGUGUAAGUAACUAUGCACGUCUUGACGGUACCUAAUCAGAAAGCCACGGCUAACUACGUGCCAGCACG